GACGAACGCUGGCGGCGUGCCUAAUACAUGCAAGUCGAACGCAGUGGGGAUGGGUGAGUAACACGUGGGUAACCUCCCAUCAGAGGGGAUAACACUUGGAAACAGGUGCUAAACCGAUACUGAUGGAUGAACCCGCGGGGCAUUAGCUAGUUGGUGAGGUAACGGCUCACCAAGGCCACGAUGCAUAGCCGACCUGAUAGGUGCACCGGCGAAACUGGGACUGAGACACGGCCCAGCCUCCUACGGGAGGCAGCAGUAGGGAAGCUUCGGAAAGGGACGAAAGUAUGACCGAGCAACGCCGCGUGAGUGAAGAAGGUUUUCGGAUCGUAAAACUCUGUUGUUAGAGAAGCGGUAUCUAACCAGAAAGCCACGGCUAACUACGUGCCAGCAGCCGCGGUAAUAC
rnacentral:rRNA from 1 species